rnacentral:rRNA from 1 species
GGAAUAUUGGUCAAUGGACGCAAGUCUGAACCAGCCAUGCCGCGUGGAGGAUGAAGGUCCUCUGGAUUGUAAACUUCUUUUAUCUGGGAAGAACUGCCAGAAUUCUUUUUGGUUUGACGGUACUAGAUGAAUAAGCACCGGCUAACUCCGUGCCAGCAGCCGCGGUAAUACGGAGGGUGCAAGCGUUAUCCGGAUUCACUGGGUUUAAAGGGUGCGUAGGUGGGCAGUUAAGUCAGUGGUGAAAUCUCCGGGCUUAACCCGGAAACUGCCAUUGAUACUAUCUGUCUUGAAUACCGUGGAGGUAAGCGGAAUAUGUCAUGUAGCGGUGAAAUGCUUAGAUAUGACAUAGAACACCAAUUGCGAAGGCAGCUUACUACACGUACUAUUGACACUGAGGCACGAAAGCGUGGGGAUCAAAC